AAAAAGACAAACCCUGAAUUUUCGUGUCCAACAUUUGACUAUCCGUCUUAUAUGAUUUUUUUUAUAAUUAAUAUUAUUGUUGUUAGAUGAUAAAACAUGAUUAAUACGCUUUAUACGUGACUUAUCUUUUUAAUUUUUUAAAUAUAUUAUUGUUGUUAGAUGAUAAAACAUAAUUAAUACGCUUUAUAGUGACUUAUCUAUUUAAUAUUUUAAAUAAGAUGGAAGGUCAAAUGUUAGAAACGGAAAUCGAGGGUUUGUCUUUUU
rfam:Oryza barthii chromosome 1, whole genome shotgun sequence.